GACGAACGCUGGCGGCGUGCCUAAUACAUGCAAGUAGGACGCAGUUGCGAACGGGUGAGUAACGCGUAGGUAACUACCUAUUAGAGGGGGAUAACUAUUGGCAACGAUAGCUAAUACCGCAUACUAGUAGAUGGACCUGCGUUGUAUUAGCUAGUAGGUUGGGUAAUGGCCUAACUCGGCAACGAUACAUUGCCGACCUUGGAAGGUGUGCGGGCAAACUGGGACUGAGACCCGGCCCAGACUCCUACGGGAGGCAACAGUAGGGAAUCUUCGGCAAUGGGGGGAACCCUGACCGAGCAACGCCGCGUGAGUGAAGAAGGUUUUCGGAGCGUAAAGCUCUGUUGUUAAGGAAGCGGUACUUAACCAGAAAGGGACGGCUAACUACGUGCCAGCAGCCGCGGUAAUUC
rnacentral:rRNA from 1 species